rnacentral:lncRNA from 12 species
UGUGCGCGUGCAGACGGGGGGCGCAUCGCUAACAAAUCGAACCCGCCAUAAAGUGAGGAGCGCGGCUGGCCGGGUCCGCGGGGGGCGGACGGGGGCGGACGGGGAGCGGGCUUGCCGCGGGCCGCCUUGCUCCUCCCCGGCCCGGCGCUCCCCGCGCAGCGACACGUUAAUAAAUGUUUCCUUUUAUCCGCUUUCACAAGGGCCCGCCCGGGUCUGCAAACACCCGGCCGCCCUUUGCCGAGAGCCCGCCGGUCGGCUCGCCCCGCACCGCGCACCUGGCCCUGGAGCCGCCGGCUGCAGCCCGAGCGCCCAGCUAGACCGCAGGGUGAACUGCCCAGCGCCCCGGAGGCUUCCCGAGCAGGACCUUACCUCGCCCCAUGGCUCAGGCCUGAGAAGUGCCUCCUGUCAGUCACGGUGCCGUCCCUUGCAUGGCUUGGCAACAUCUCUGUCACUUGGCACCCAGGCUUAUCCUCGUCCUGUGAUUGCUCCUGGUGACUCAUCCAUUUGUGCUUAUAUCCGGUCGUCUGUGGCUCGGGCAGGUGCCGUGCCCAUGAGAGCUGGGCUGCCGACCAAGACGGCAGCAGAGGCCUCUGCCAUGAGCUGGAUUUAUCCUGGUCUGUCCCCUUCACCUUGGAGAGAGCACUUAGGCAUAGAUCACCCCCCUUCGCAGUGAUCGCUUACGGCGUAUGUCAGUAGGAACGUGGUUGCUGAUGGGAGACCCCCUUUGGCUAGCGAAGACAAGAAAGGGGUUUUGUUGAAAGUUCUUAAGUAUCCUCAGAUCCUCAGAAGGGUCAGAAUGCAGGCUUUGAAGCUGGACAGCCAGGAAAGACUUCAACCACACCGUAGGGGCUGCUCUGGCAACACCGCACUGCCGCCGCGUCCAUCCUGAUGACAUUGGGCUUGGACUCUGAAGGCUCAGUCACUGCUGAGCUCCAGGAAGAACUGAAAGCUUCGCCACAGUGUUUUCUAGAAGCUCAGAUCCCUUGGGCACAGCCACCACCACACAAAGCCACAUACUGAAGUCCUGUCUCCCAUGGGUGUGUCUGAUUAGCAGAACCUGGGCCACAUGACUGCAUCCCAACUGUGAAGUGCGGGGAUUCGAGUUUCUGGAAUUGGCCUGGGAAGGUGAGAAUCAUCAUGGGAUGUUAGAGAGAGGGGAUUGGGUGGCCACAAACACAAGACAAACACCUGCUCCACCUGCGGCAGGCUGGACAACAGGCCGAGCACUCCGUGUCUCUCAUUCUACCCUUGUCCUUAUAGUUAGGGAACCAAGGAUCAGCAAGGGGAAGUGACGUGUCCCAGGUUGCAAGGAGCCCAGACUCUAGAACCUUCAUCCACCUUCCAAACUCAGGGUUAGAUGGAAAAAUAUCAACAGAUCCCCAGCCACCUACAUGCACUAAUGCUGGCCUGGGGCCCCAACCACAAGGGAACCAUUUUGUGUGGCAAAUGCAGUCACAGGGUGAGCUCUGUUCUCUUGCUCACUCACUCCUUUGAUUGAAGCAGGAAACCACUUACAGUUCGUCCAUCCAUUCAUAGCCAGAUCUUACGAAAUUCAUCAUGUGCUCAUGGUUAGAGGGCUUGGGCUCUGGUGCAGCUUCCUGCUGCUCGGCCUUGGGCCUCGUGCAUUCUCGAGCCUCAUCUGUAAAAUGGGCAUCCAAAUCUCGCCCCACUGU